rnacentral:rRNA from 1 species
UACAGAGGGUGCGAGCGUUGUCCGGAAUCACUGGGCGUAAAGGGCGCGUAGGUGGCGCUGCAAGUCGGUGGUGAAAGCUCGUCGCUUAACGACGAGUCGGCCAUCGAAACUGCAGGGCUCGAGCACUGUAGGGGCUAAUGGAAUUCCGGGUGUAGCGGUGGAAUGCGUAGAGAUCCGGAAGAACACCAGUGGCGAAGGCGGUUAGCUGGGCAGUUGCUGACACUGAUGCGCGAAAGCGUGGGGAGCAAACAGG